AAGGGAGAGGAUAAGGUAGAAGUCUACCCUCGGGACGGGGAUAGCUGCGGGAAACUGCAAGUAAUACCCGAUAAUAUCUUUGGAUCAAAGGUGUGAUUCCGCCUGGGGAUGAGUCUACUUCCUAUUAGCUAGUUGGCAGGGUAAUGGCCUACCAAGGCAACGAUGGGUAGCGGGUGUGAGAGCAUGACCCGCCUCACUGGGACUGAGAACUGCCCAGACACCUACGGGUGGCUGCAGUCGAGAAUCUUCGGCAAUGGGCGCAAGCCUGACCGAGCGACGCCGCGUGCGGGAUGAAGGCCUUCGGGUUGUAAACCGCUGUCGUAGGGGAACAAAUGUAUGGGGGUUCUCCCCUGUACUUGAGUGAUCCUAGGAGGAAGGGGAGGCUAAGCUCGUGCCAGCAGCCGCGGUAAGGCGAGCUCCCCGAACGUUAUUCGGUAUUACUGGGCUUAAAGAGUUCGUAGGCGGUCUGACAGGUCAGGUGUGAAAUCCCUCGGCUCAACCGAGGAACUGCGCUUGAAACCGUUAGACUUGAGGGAGAUAGAGGUGAGCGGAACAGAUGGUGGAGCGGUGAAAUGCGUUGA
rnacentral:rRNA from 1 species